rnacentral:misc_RNA from 1 species
GUUACAUUUCAGCAUUCCUUGGUGAUACCCACACAAGAUAUGAUAGCUCUCUUUCCAAGAGAUUUAUGGCAAUUGGUCAGCUUGUUAUAUGUUUAAGACAAUAAGACCUGGCAUGCACCCAAUCGAUAACAUCUGUAUCAAUAGUUGAACCUCAAGACGGAUAAGGUCAGCGUUUUCAUCCUUGUGCAAUAGUUGUGGAAAACAAGAAUAACUUUGGUUUCAAACUGGUGGCUGUUCCUAAAUAUACAUAAGUUUCAGUAUGGUGAUGCAGUGUUGCUGGCUUCAAGGGACUGUUAUGCACUGU